CCUACGGGGGGCAGCAGUGGGGAAUAUUGCACAAUGGGGGAAACCCUGAUGCAGCGACGCCGCGUGAGUGAAGAAGUAUCUCGGUAUGUAAACCUCUAUCAGCAGGGAAGAAAAUGACGGUACCUGACUCAGAAGCCCCGGCUAACUACGUGCCAGCAGCCGCUGUAAUACGUAGGGGGCAAGCGUUAUCCGGAUUUAAUGGGUGUAAAGGGGGCGUAGGAGGCUGCACAAGUCUGGAGUGAAAUGCCGGGGCUUAACCUCGGAACUGCUGUGGAAACUGGGCAGCUAGAGUGCAGGAGAGGUAAGUGGAAUGCCUGGUGUAGCGGUGAAAUGCGUAGAUAUUAGGAGGAACACCAGUGGCGAAGGCAGCUUACUGGACUGUAACUGACGCUGAGGCGCGAAAGCGUGGGGAGCAAACAGGAUUAGAUACCCCUGUAGUC
rnacentral:rRNA from 1 species